rnacentral:rRNA from 1 species
GUUAUAUGGUCAAGCGAAUAAGCGCACACGGUGGAUGCCUUGGCGGUCAGAGGCGAUGAAGGACGUGGCAGCCUGCGAAAAGUAUCGGGGAGCUGGCAACAAGCUUUGAUCCGGUAAUGUCCGAAUGGGGAAACCCACCCGCUUGCGGGUAUCCUGCAGUGAAUACAUAGCUGCUGGAAGCGAACCUGGUGAACUGAAAUAUCUAAGUAACCAGAGGAAAAGAAAUCAACCGAGAUUCCGUAAGUAGCGACGAGCGAACGCGGACUAGCCCUUAAGCUGAUUUGGUUCUAGGAAAACGCUCUGGAAAGAGCGGCCAUAGAAGGUGAUAGCCCUGUAUCUGAAAGGGCCAUUUCAGUGAAGACGAGUAGGGCGGGGCACGUGAAACCCUGUCUGAACAUGGGGGGACCAUCCUCCAAGGCUAAAUACUACUGACCGACCGAUAGUGAACCAGUACCGUGAGGGAAAGGCGAAAAGAACCCCGGAGAGGGGAGUGAAAUAGAACCUGAAACCGUGUGCGUACAAGCAGUAGGAGCUCCGCAAGGAGUGACUGCGUACCUUUUGUAUAAUGGGUCAGCGACUUACUGUUCGUGGCAAGCUUAACCGUAUAGGGGAGGCGAAGGGAAACCGAGUCUGAUAAGGGCGCAUAGUCGCGGGCAGUAGACCCGAAACCGGGUGAUCUAGUCAUGCCCAGGGUGAAGGUGCGGUAACACGCACUGGAGGCCCGAACCCACUCCCGUUGCAAAGGUAGGGGAUGAGGUGUGAUUAGGAGUGAAAAGCUAAUCGAACCCGGAGAUAGCUGGUUCUCCUCGAAAGCUAUUUAGGUAGCGCCUCAUAUGUAUCCUCUCGGGGGUAGAGCACUGUUAUGGCUAGGGGGUCAUCGCGACUUACCAAACCAUUGCAAACUCCGAAUACCGAGACGGACUGUAUGGGAGACACACGGCGGGUGCUAACGUCCGUCGUGAAAAGGGAAACAACCCAGACCCACAGCUAAGGUCCCAAAUUCACUGCUAAGUGGAAAACCAUGUGGAAAGGCACAGACAGCCAGGAGGUUGGCUUAGAAGCAGCCACCCUUUAAAGAAAGCGUAAUAGCUCACUGGUCGAGUCGGUCUGCGGGGAAGAUUUAACGGGGCUAAGCAGUGAACCGAAGCUUGGGGUGCAUACUUUGUAUGCGCGGUAGAGGAGCGUUCCGUAAGCCGUUGAAGGUGGAUUGAGAAGUCUGCUGGAGGUAUCGGAAGUGCGAAUGCUGACAUGAGUAACGAUAAUGCGGGUGAAAAACCCGCACGCCGAAAGCCCAAGGUUUCCUUGCGCAACGUUAAUCGGCGCAGGGUGAGUCGGCCCCUAAGGCGAGGACGAAAGUCGUAGUCGAUGGGAAGCAGGUUAAUAUUCCUGCACCUCGCGUAAGUGCGAUGGAGGGACGGAGAAGGUUAGGUGUACCAGGCGUUGGUUGUCCUGGGGAAAGGCGGUAGGUUUGGAUCUUUGGCAAAUCCGGGAUCCUUUAAGACCGAGCACCGAGACGAGCCUUUAUGGCGAAGUCACUGAUACCACGCUUCCAGGAAAAGCUCCUAAGCUUCAGCUUACGCAGACCGUACCGUAAACCGACACAGGUGGGUAGGAUGAGAAUUCUCAGGCGCUUGAGAGAACUCGGGUGAAGGAACUAGGCAACAUGGCACCGUAACUUCGGGAGAAGGUGCACCCUUUUUGGUGGCUCGUGCGAGCUAUAGCUGAAGAGGGUCGCAGUAACCAGGCCGCUGCGACUGUUUAUCAAAAACACAGCACUCUGCAAACACGAAAGUGGACGUAUAGGGUGUGACGCCUGCCCGGUGCUGGAAGGUUAAUUGAUGGGGUCAGCCGCAAGGCGAAGCUCUUGAUCGAAGCCCCAGUAAACGGCGGCCGUAACUAUAACGGUCCUAAGGUAGCGAAAUUCCUUGUCGGGUAAGUUCCGACCUGCACGAAUGGCGUAACGACAGCGGCGCUGUCUCCACCCGAGACUCAGUGAAAUUGAAAUCGCUGUGAAGAUGCAGCGUUCCCGUGGCAAGACGGAAAGACCCCGUGAACCUUUACUAUAGCUUUACACUGAACGUUGAGUUCGUCUGUGUAGGAUAGGUGGGAGGCUAUGAAACUGUGGCGCUAGCUGCAGUGGAGCCAUCCUUGAAAUACCACCCUGUCGUGCUUGACGUUCUAACCUGGGCCCAUUAUCUGGGUCGGGGACCGUGUAUGGUGGGUAGUUUGACUGGGGCGGUCUCCUCCUAAAGAGUAACGGAGGAGCUCGAAGGUACGCUCAGCGCGGUCGGACAUCGCGCACUGUGUGCAAAGGCAUAAGCGUGCUUGACUGCAAGAUCGACGGAUCAAGCAGGUAGGAAACUAGGACUUAGUGAUCCGGUGGUUCUGUAUGGAAGGGCCAUCGCUCAACGGAUAAAAGGUACUCCGGGGAUAACAGGCUGAUACCGCCCAAGAGUUCAUAUCGACGGCGGUGUUUGGCACCUCGAUGUCGGCUCAUCACAUCCUGGGGCUGUAGUCGGUCCCAAGGGUAUGGCUGUUCGCCAUUUAAAGUGGUACGCGAGCUGGGUUCAGAACGUCGUGAGACAGUUCGGUCCCUAUCUGCCAUGGGCGUUGGAGAUUUGAGAGGGGCUGCUCCUAGUACGAGAGGACCGGAGUGGACGAACCUCUGGUGUUCCGGUUGUCACGCCAGUGGCAUUGCCGGGUAGCUAUGUUCGGAAGCGAUAACCGCUGAAAGCAUCUAAGCGGGAAGCGCGCCUCAAGAUGAGAUCUCCCGGGGCACAAGCCCCCUGAAGGAACCAUGUAGACUACGUGGUUGAUAGGUCAGGUGUGUAAGUGCAGCAAUGCAUUGAGCUAACUGAUACUAAUGAUCCGUGCGGCUUGACCAUAUAACCU